CUCCGGUUGAUCCUGCCGGACCUGACUGCUAUCGGAUUGGUACUAAGCCAUGCGAGUCGUUGUAGCAAUACAAGGCGGACGGCUCAGUAACACGUAGUCAACCUAACCUAUGGACGUGGAUAACCUCGGGAAACUGAGAAUAAACCGCGAUAGAUCAUUAUGCCUGGAAUGGCUUAUGGUUCAAACAAUUUAUUGCCGUAGGAUGGGACUGCGGCCUAUCAGCUUGUUGGUGAGGUAAUGGCCCACCAAGGCUAUAACAGGUACGGGCUCUGAGAGGAGAAGCCCGGAGAUGGGUACUGAGACAAGGGCCCAGGCCCUAUGGGGCGCAGCAGGCGCGAAACCUCUGCAAUAGGCGAAAGCCUGACAGGGUUACUCUGAGUGAUUUCCGCUAAGGGGAUCUUUUGGCACCUCUAAAAAUGGUGCAGAAUAAGGGGUGGGCAAGUCUGGUGUCAGCCGCCGCGGUAAUACCAGCACCCCGAGUGGUCGGGACGAUUAUUGGGCCUAAAGCAUCCGUAGCCGGUUCUGCAAGUCUUCCGUUAAAUCCAGCCGCUCAACGGAUGGGCCGCGGAGGAUACUACAGGACUAGGAGGCGGGAGAGGCAAGCGGUACUCAGUGGGUAGGGGUAAAAUCCUUUGAUCCAUUGAAGACCACCAGUGGCGAAGGCGGCUUGCCAGAACGCGCUCGACGGUGAGGGAUGAAAGCUGGGGGAGCAAACCGGAUUAGAUACCCGGGUAGUCCCAGCUGUAAACGAUGCAGACUCGGUGAUGGGCUAGCCUUGUGCCAGCCCAGUGCCGCAGGGAAGCCGUUAAGUCUGCCGCCUGGGGAGUACGGUCGCAAGACUGAAACUUAAGGAAUUGGCGGGGGGAGCCA
rnacentral:rRNA from 1 species